rnacentral:rRNA from 1 species
GAUGAACGCUAGCUACAGGCUUAACACAUGCAAGUCGCGGGGCAGCAUGAAUUUAGCUUGCUAAAUUUGAUGGCGACCGGCGCACGGGUGAGUAACGCGUAUCCAACCUUCCCCUGUCCACGGGAUAGCCCGUCGAAAGGCGGAUUAAUACCGUAUGAGGUCACACGAUGGCAUCAGACUGUGACGAAAGGUUUAGCGGACAGGGAUGGGGAUGCGUCCGAUUAGGUAGUCGGCGGGGUAACGGCCCACCGAGCCGACGAUCGGUAGGGGUUCUGAGNGGAAGGUCCCCCACAUUGGAACUGAGACACGGUCCAAACUCCUACGGGAGGCAGCAGUGAGGAAUAUUGGUCAAUGGGCGCGAGCCUGAACCAGCCAAGUCGCGUGAGGGAAGACGGGCCCUAACGGGGUUGUAAACCUCUUUUGCCGGGGAGCAACGCUGCGGACGCGUCCGC